UGAUUUAAAACAUAAGGGUUAGUUCCACUCACCUCUGGCUAGCUCUGGACUAACUCUGAAGCAGCUAACACUGCUAAACACCUUGGUUCCUCGGGUCCGAUCCUACAUAGGUGGACUCCAGUGAGGUGCCAAACAUACUCUAAACAACUCAUAAACAACUACCCAAAAACCCCCCUAAAGCAUCACUUAAACAUGCAUA
rnacentral:lncRNA from 1 species